CGGGCCGCGUGCGGAGCCGCGCGUCCCGGAGGCUCCGGGACCGUGGCGGCGGGCGGCGGCGGCGGCGGCGGAGUAGUCCUCCGCGGGCCAUGUCUUCUCCGGCCGUGGCGAGGAGCUCCCCACGAGGGAGUCAGGAGAUGGCCCCCCAGCCGCGGAGCCGGGGCCGGUUCUGGGAAGUGGGCGGCGGCGGCGGCGGUGACCGGCUGGAGCGCGCGGCCGCGGAGUCGGAGCGCUGGGAGCUGCUGCUCCGCCGUGGGGAGCUGCUGGCGUUGGGCGGCCACCUGAAGGGAGCGCUGGAAGCGUACGCGGCGGCGCUGCGCCGCGGGGCCCCUGUCAGGCCGGAGUGCCUCGGCACCCUGGUGGACUGCCUGGUGUUCAACUACCGGCUCCGCCACGGGCUGGGCUGGAGCGCGGCCCCGGCGGCGGGUGCCCACCCCGGCGCCGGCGGGCUGCUCAGCUGCCUGGGAUGCCGGGGCUUCCUCAGCGAGCCGGUGACCGUGCCCUGUGGCCACAGCUAUUGCCGCCGCUGCCUGCGGAGACAGCUCCGUGCCCGCUGCCGCCUCUGCCGGGACCGGCUGCCGCCCGCCCCCACCUCAGUCGCUGAUGAUGAGGGGAACUCCCCGCGGCCGCCGCCUCUGGACGCCGCCAUCACCGUCUCGGGCUUCAGGACCAGCGUCGUCCUCAACCACCUGGCAGAGAAGUGGUUCCCGGGCCAGCGAGAGCGAGCCCGGGCGGCCGGCCGGCUCGGGGAGCUGCUGCAGCAAGGACGCUACCGGGAGGCCCUGGCCGCCGCCUGCGAGGCACUGCGAGCAGAACCCAACGACUUGACUCUGAAAAUUUACAGAGCUGAAUCAUAUGCUGGUCUCCAAGAGUUUAAGGCAGCUAUAGAAGAUUUAAAUGCAGUUCUCUUUCAACUGCCAGAUUGGCCUGAGGUCUACUUCAGGAAAGGAAAAGUCCUCCAUGAUGCUGGUUUUUUAGGUGAUGCCUUACAACUAUUUCUUCAGUGCUUAGCGCUGGAUGAAGAUUUUGCACCCGCACGGCUAGAAGUAGAAAAGAUUUUAUGUGAUUUAUUAUCACCUGAAAACUUAAAAGAAGGCCUGAAGGACUCUUCCUGGAGUUCAUUACCAUGUAUUAAAAACAAACCUUUUGGUUUUCCUUCAUUAAUGGAAGAGUCUCACUCAGCCAGUGAGCUUAGCCCAGAGCAGAGUGAAAACAUAGCAGCAGUCACUUCGGAGCUUGUCAAAGGAAGCUUAAACCGGGCUCGGUCAACACAGGCUAUAAAUUCAACAGAAAUGCCUGCCAGAGAGGACUGUUUAAAAAGAGUGUCCUCAGAACCUUUACUAUCUCUUCAGGAGAAAGGUGUUCUGCUGAAAAGAAAGUUGUCUCUGUUAGACCAGGAUGUGAUUGUAAAUGAAGAUGGAAGAAAUAAGCUGAAAAGACAGGGAGAAACUCCCAGUGAAGUCUGUACGUUUUCAUUAACUUACGGUGACAUCCCAGAAGAAUUAAUAGAUGUCUCAGAUUUUGAGUGUUCCCUCUGCAUGAGGUUGUUUUUUGAGCCAGUAACAACCCCCUGUGGACAUUCAUUCUGUAAGAAUUGUCUUGAGCGUUGUUUAGAUCACACACCAUAUUGUCCCCUUUGCAAAGAAAGCUUAAAAGAGUAUCUAGCAGAUAGGAGGUACUCUGUCACACAGCUGUUGGAAGAUUUGAUAGUGAAGUAUCUGCCUGAUGAACUGUCUGAGAGAAAAAAAAUGUAUGAUGAAGAAACUGCUGAACUCUCACACUUGACUAAGAAUGUUCCAAUAUUUGUUUGCACUAUGGCCUACCCCACUGUGCCUUGCCCUCUUCAUGUAUUUGAGCCAAGAUACAGAUUGAUGAUUCGAAGAAGUAUACAGACUGGAACUAAACAAUUUGGGAUGUGUGUCAGUGAUACACAAAAUAGUUUUGCAGAUUAUGGCUGUAUGUUACAAAUUAGAAAUGUACAUUUUUUGCCUGAUGGAAGGUCUGUGGUUGAUACCGUUGGAGGAAAGCGGUUUAGGGUUUUAAAAAGGGGAAUGAAAGAUGGAUACUGCACUGCAGACAUUGAAUAUCUGGAAGAUGUGAAGGUUGAGGAUGAAGAUGAGCUAGAGAAUCUCCGACAGCUUCAUGAUUUGGUCUACUCUCAAGCCUGCAGCUGGUUUCAGAAUCUGAGAGACAGAUUUCGAAGCCAAAUUCUUCAGCACUUUGGAUCGAUGCCUGGAAGGGAGGAAAACCUACAGGCAAUCCCUAACGGACCCGCCUGGUGUUGGUGGCUUCUUGCUGUCCUACCUGUCGACCCCCGAUACCAGCUGUCAGUUUUGUCAAUGAGGUCUUUGAAAGAACGGUUGACAAAGAUACAGCAUAUACUGACCUAUUUUUCUAGAGACCAGUCUAAGUAACUGCUCGGAGCUUCCCCUGAAGUUACCCUAAUCUGGCUGUGCUGACAGCCAGAUUGUCUGCUGCCUUCGCACACCCAGUGCUGGUUUGAGAAAUUUCCUCGGGGUCGACUUGAAUGACUUCACUCAGCAAGGACCCUGAACUCCACAGCACUUUCCUUGUGGCACUUCCGGGGGUAACUGAACUCAACACAUCAGCCCUCUCCUGAGUGUUAAAGACUGGCAUCUAGCAGUUCACACAGAUUUAACCUCCAAGACCUAGGCUGAUCGCUGAACAGAAAUGAAAUAAGUGUUAGUUAAGAUGGUAAGUUGGAAAAAGGUUAGACUGAACAUACACCUCUGUCUUCUCUUUCUCCCCAAGUUCAAAACAACGGCAGUCAAGAAAAUGAAAUGUGGGGGGAGGGUAUAGCUCAAGUGGUAGAGCACAUGCUUAGCAUGCAUGAGGUCCUGGGUUCAAUCCCCAGUACCUCCUCUAAAAAUAAAUUAAGUAAGUAAACCUAGUUACCUCCCCCAACAACAAAAAGAAGUCUAACAACAUUGCACAAGGAAAGUGUCAGCUGACCAACGCUUUUGAGGAAUUUGAGAUACGGAAAUGAGAUCUGGCAGAGAGGACCAGGGGAAAGCAUAGCUUUACAGAAAUGGAGGACUACAGGGGAGCCCCAAUCUAAAAGAGGGUCUUGGAAGACUCAGGCCGAUGCCUCAGGGAGGCUGCACUGGACACGGCUGGAUGGUUCGGCCUCUCUCUCACUUGGCCUGGGCAGCAGGGGCAAGAGCAGUUGUUCUCAGGCCAAAGCACCAAGGGAGCGUUGGGAUAGAGAGGACCAGGUCCCCGUGGGAUGCAGCGCCCUCACAGACAGCAAGCCACUGACCUUCGUCGCAUGAUGCAUGUUCCGGCCGCCCCCACCGGCAACAGAGGCAGGAAUGGACAAGGAUCCCAGACGACAAAGACGAGCAAUCACCUCCUAUAAAUUUGAGGAGAAACGCUCUAGACAGCAAACCCAAUACCCUUUAAUUUGAGGAUGUGCAAUUCCAAAAAAAAGGUCUGGGGGAUCUAAAAACUGUUCCUAUGAUGGUCCCUGGCAACAUAGAAACAGUCAGUAAAAGUUUAUUCAAUCAAUGAAUGAAUCAUAAAAAAUAAGCAAAGAUGAAUUAAAGAUGGAAGAACACAGACAGAGGAAUGAGGUGGCAGGUUGGGGCUCUUUCCAGAACAGUGCAGAGAUUGAUAGAGACCAAGUAUGAGGAAAAGACCAAGAGUAUUCACAUCCUUCUGACAGAAGUUUCUUAAGAGCAGAAAAAAAGGAACAUAAUACAAGUCAUUUUCCUAGAGCUCAAGACUAAUGAAAAAAACCUACGUGCUUGCUUAGGGACCAAGUUCGUGCAUUUAAAGAGAACAAUAAGAAACUAAGGUGGACUGAGCACAAGCGCAACAGCCGUAACUCAGUGUCGGCACCGAUCUGCAGGGAGAGGACUGGCUCAAUGCAGUAAAUUUUCUUCCUAAGCUAGUGUUUAAAUGCCAACAUUUAAAAAUGUUAAACGUUUUUUUAAGAGACAUUUAUGACCUGGCUUAAUAAAUGAGCUCUCUUACAGAUCUGCCUCCAAAUAGCUUAAAUGUAUUCUUAAAGAUUUUAAGAGUCACAGCAGGAUACAGAAAAACAUACAGGCUUCGUUUCAAAAUGUGAACACUCACAUUUAAUCCUCGGAAAAGUCCUGUAAGGUACGUGAGGAAACGGAGACUAGUUAAUUUGUCAGAGGAUUACACAGCUCGUAUGUUGUGGAACUGACUGAACCCGCCACUCACUGCCACAUGAAGUUCUAAGACAUCUGGGAAGGGAAAUGAUUGACUUGACCCUCUGACUCAGCUGGCUGUGCACUUGGGGGAGGGGUUCAUCUUACAGCGAUGAAUUAGAACUUUUUUCUCUUGCAUUUCUUUUUUGGGGGCUGAGGAUGGUAAAUUAGGUUAAUUUUUUGUAGAGGAGGUACUAGGGAUUGAACACAGGACCUCGUACCACUUGAGCUAUACCCUCCCCACAGAACUUGUUUUUAAGCACCGCACCAAGAUGGUGAGAUGGCCAAAUCGGGCUAAGCCCUAUAUUUUUAGGAGCAGUGUAAAUCGCUAACAAUCUUGUUAGGAGGUAACACUGCAGGAUGUAUAGCAAGAAUCAUUAAAAUCAUACUUUUCCAACCCAAUCUCGUACUGUGGGGUCUUCUUACCCUGCAUGUUUCCAUUAGCAGAGACCCAAAUUAAAACAAAACAAAACCACACAAUAGAACAAUGGUAUACAACAUUUAAAUUAGGAAAAUCUCAUGUUUAUGUGCCCCCAUACUUAUAAUGACUAUAUUCUUUGAAAUGCCAUUAAUUCUAAAUAAUCAAUGAUUCCCAAAUCUUAAUCCAUUUGAUUUAAUUGUAAACCAGUGUCACCAGAAUUAGUCAACAUAGUCCAAGGAAGAACAAAUCAGACCCUUCCAAAAAAGCAAAGGAAAGGAGGGAGGGAGGGGCGUGUGUGAGAUUCUGGAAGUGAAAUUAAUUAUCACCAACUAAUUGAAUACAAAGGUAAAGAAAGAUGUAGCAACAUACAGAACAAAUCACUGUUGAACAGCCUAACGCACCAGAACACAUCUAAGCAAGGACAACAAAAGAAAACAAAAUGGCAAGGUGAAAGGUAAGAACUCCUUGUGCAAGCUAGGGAGUGAAAGAAAAACAUACCUUUAGUUCCAGGAAUAUUUCUACAUUAAUGGAGUCAGAACAGACUUACCUCUUGCACUUAAAUGUUCAAGCCGAAGACACGGUGGGAAGUGAAAACAGGCGUGCAAGUCCCAGCGUCUUGGUAAGCAGCGGUGGCCUCUGACUGAGCUCCUCGUAAGUACCAGGUCCCACACUAGGCAUAUUAUGCACGUUGCUGCUGAAAUCUAAUGCAGACCUGAUUUUUGUUCUCUUGUUAAGUGAUCUGGGUAACCCAAUUUUCUAAGUAACUUCCCCAUUCUAUCUCAGUAUGAAAAAAAAAAAAGUUGAUCUAUUGAGAGUUUCAGACCCAGUAUUUCACUGUAAAUGUACUUUAUACCGUAAAUACACACAUUUAUAUGUACAUGUAUGUAAAUCUUCAUAUGUAUACCUUUCUUUAAAAAAUUUUACUGAGCUAUCAUUUGACACAUCACAUGAUUAGUUUCAAAUGUACAACGUAGUGAUAUUUGUAUAUAUUGCAAAAUGAUCACCAUCCUAAGCCUGGUUACCAUCUGUCAUCAUAAUCACAAAUUUUUCUUCUUGUAAUGAGAACUUUUAAGAUCUACUCUCUUAGCAACUUCAAAUAUACAAUACAGUAUUACUAACUACUGUCACCAUGCUGUAUGUUGUAUCCCUAUGACCUAUUUUGUAGCAGGAAAUUGGUAGCUUUUGAGACAGUUACUCAUAGAUCUUGAUAUGACUUAUCUAGAAUAGCAGAUAGAUGUCAAAAUUGGUUAUUUCAUCUUUCUGAGAGGAACAGCUCAAUACAUGUAUUAUGAUUUGGCUGAGUAUCAUUUGGCCAAGGAAAUACCAGAACAGCCAGGAAGCUAGUGGAGGGGAAAUAUCUUCAUCUGUAGAGUCAGGCAGACCUGGAUUUGGACCUACCAGCUCUACCUCUUAUUAGGUGUAUGACUGUCGUAGCAUCAACUGGUAAAAUUAGGAUUAAAAAGACUACAGAAUAAAAGUAAAGGAGUUUAGCACAGUGCUGCACAUGGAGCUUCAUACAUACUAGUAUCUUGUGUGUUUUAGGCACUAGCAGGGUGACUAUUAAAGAGCAAGAUAAGAUCUAAGCAGUAGGCAGUUGUUAAAGUAGAAACUCAGAAACCAGAAGCAAAGCAGAAACCAAAUAACAAAAAAUUGGAAGACUCAGAAAACUGAGGCUCUGAAACGACGCAAGAAUUCUGGUUUAGGAACUCCCUGUGAUACCUGUUAAGGGUUGAAUUGUGUCCCCUUGCCCCAAAUAUAUGUUGAAGUUCUAACUGCUGGAACCUCAGAACGUGACCUUAUCUGGAAAUAGGGUCAGUUGUGCAUAUGUAAUUAGUUCUUCGAGGACAUCCUGGAGCAGAGUGGGCCCUUAAUCCAUUGUACCUGGUGUCCUUUUAAGAAGAGUAGAGGACAGACGCGCAGAGACAAGGCCACAUACAGACACAAAGACACGGAGAAGACAGCCUUUGAUGAUAGUGGCAGAUUGGAGUGAUGUGUCUACAAGCCAAGGAAUGCCUGAAGUUGCCAGAAGAUGCAAGAAGCACAGAAGAAUCCUCCUCUAAGAUUUUUGGAGAAGCAUGACUUUGGUGACGUCUUGAUUUUGGACUUUCAGCCUCCAGAAGUGGGAGAGAAUAGAUUUCUAUUGUUGAAAGCCACCCAGCCUGUGAUGCUGUGUUACGGCAGCCUCAGGACAUUAGUGUGGCACUCCCUUCAGACUAACAAGGACUGUGAUACAGGCCUUGUGGAAGUGGGUCUAAAACGGGUUGAAAACUUUUUUUUCAGAUAUAAUUGCUUCUAGUAACUGUAGCUGGAAAAUCUGGAGGUAAAGUUGCCAAAAAUGAAGAAAGGAAGGGACUUAGAGACAAAUCAACAGAUGAGAUUCAAAAUAAUCAUGUUUUGGCUCCAGAAACAUCAAUUCACAGAUCCAUUCAGACUAGCUAGUAAAUACAGGACACACGGACAAGAAAACCCAUCUUCCCAUCCCAAGUCAACAUAUCUGAAUGAUUCUGGCACCUCAUACAUACACUAGUCACUCAAAUACCUCUGGAAUGACAGCCUCUCUGGAUAUGCAAAUAUAAACAAAUGAUUUCAUGUUACCACUAAAUUGGUGUGAUUUUCAAAAUUAAAAGAUCAGUGGGGUCUAUGAGGAAACAAAUUUCAUGAAGUCAAUAAAUUAUUUCAUUCUUAAUUUUAUAGAUUCUUAUGCUACAUCUGCAUCAUAUUUUUGAUAAUCUAUGAAGGUUAAGAAUGUCAAAUGAUUAGAAGAUCUAGAUUGCUUUGCUGCUUUAAGUGAGACAAUACUAUUUUCCCAGUUAGAUCUUUGGUCCCAAAAGUAUUUAUCAGUAUCUAUCAUGUGCCCAGCACUGUUACAGGUAUUUGGGAUACUUGUACCAACAACUUAUAAAUUUACAGUUUGGGAGGAAAAACAGAUACGCCCACAAAUGUGCUAAGUGCAUGAGCAACGUUCCAGGAUAAGCAGUGCUGGCUGGAGAGUAGAUGGAAGCAGUGAAGAAAAUGAAGAAAGGAAGCUAAGAGACUUGGAAUAGACAAGGGUUGAACAGGUGAAAAAAGAGUGUGGGCAGUGGUCCAGGUAAAGUGAUCAACAUGGGAUCAUAGAACCACAGGGAGUUAUAUAAUGUGGCCAGAAGGAAAGUGGGUGAGGGGCGAAGUAGGCCUAGACAAGGUUGAGGUGGUGGGUGGGUAUCAAAUUACAAAGGCACUAAAAAGAGCUAGGACUUUAUCCUACGGAAAGCAUCCCUUAUCAAAUACUCACUUCAUCCCGGUUUGUUUCAUACAUGACAGACCACAAUAGGCUACCUCAUAUUAGACCUACCCAAUGAUAUUCCUGCACUCAAAAGUUUGUAAAAAAUAUCCAUAGCUGGAAAAAUAUCAAAAAUUGUUCGAUAUCUAAAUAGCUUCAAUUAGUAGAUGAAAUCACUCAACCAAUCCAUUGUUUAUUGAGCUUUUACUAUGUAUAGAACAUUUAUGUAAAUACUAAAAAUCUUCCUAUUGAUUUAAAAUACCUGGGUUGUUCAUAAAUAAUUUACACAUUUUUAACUUUUAAAUUCAAAAUAGAACAUCCAUAUAGAAAAGUGGACAAACUGUAAAUGUGCAACUUAAUGAACUAUCACAAGACGAAGAUAUCUGGGUGAAGAAACAGAACACAACCAGUACCCAGAGGCCCCUCUUGUUCUCACUCCAAGUUACUAACCUCACCUUGACUUCUAAAAUCACUGAUUAAUUCUGCCUGUUUCUGAAUUUACAUAAAUAGAAUCACAUGAUA